UCAAAACAGUACACCUCCAAAUUUUCAGACAUUGAAAAAAUGUUAUUAUUGGAACUCAUUGAAGAUGUAAGAAACAUUGUGGAGAGUACAAAAAUUGAUGAUCCAAGUUUAGAAAGAAAGAAGACAACUUGGGAUCUUAUUAAAGAGCAAUAUGCGAAUAAUGCAACAAACAAUGGUUUUCCUCUAAGAGCAUGUGCACAAUUAAAAAGAUGCUGAGUGAAUUUAAAAUAUAGAUGCAGACGAUCAGAUUCAGAAAAGAAACAGCAUCAAUUACAAACUGGUGGUGGUCCACCAAUAAUAACUGAUGAUGAUGAAGAAGACAUGCACGAAAAAGUUCACAGUAUUGUUCCAACAAUUGAUUUUAUGAUGAAAAAUUAAUGGGAUAGUACAUAUGAAAUCGAAAAAAACAUGAAAGAUACGGAACAUAUAUUUAGAGGAGAAGAGAUGAGAAAUAAGCUAAAUUUUAAUCAAGAUAAAAAAGAAAACUACAAUGAUAAUAAUGAAAAUUGCCUUUUGCUGCUGAUUUAAAUGCCACUGCUGGUUUAAGUAAGAAAAAUUUAUUUUGUUUUUAGUAUGGAUUAUGAUCAUUAGAAGGGAAAAUUUUUUUAUAAAAUAUGUUUAACCAUAAAUAAUGCUAGGAGUGGAAUUGAAAAAAUGCCAGAAAGUAUUGAUAUUUCCUUGAACAAACAUUUUUCUAAUAAUAAGUCUAGUGCAAUUGGUAAGUAGGAUAGACCGGGGAUAGCUGACUACAAGCAUGAUCUAAUAAUGAAUGUUCUAUUAAAUAAUUUUCAAUCCAAGAGCAAUAAAUUCAUGACAGAAUCAAUAAAUAGCGUUUAUUGAUUUAACAGAAACGCUGCUAUCUCAUAUUAGGUGUCUAUCUCAUAAUGGAGACU